rnacentral:rRNA from 1 species
AGCGAACGCUGGCGGCAGGCCUAACACAUGCAAGUCGAACGAACCUUUCGGGGUUAGUGGCGGACGGGUGAGUAACACGUGGGAACGUGCCUUUAGGUUCGGAAUAACUCAGGGAAACUUGUGCUAAUACCGAAUGUGCCCUUCGGGGGAAAGAUUAAUCGCCUUUAGAGCGGCCCGCGUCUGAUUAGCUAGUUGGUUGAGGUAAUGGCUCACCAAGGCGACGAUCAGUAGCUGGUAUGAGAGGAUGAUCAGACACAUUGGGACUGAGACACGGCCCAAACUCCUACGGGAGGCAGCAGUGGGGAAUCUUGCGCAAUGGGCGAAAGCCUGACGCAGCCAUGCCGCGUGAAUGAUGAAGGUCUUAGGAUUGUAAAAUUCUUUCACCGGGGACGAUAAUGACGGUACCCGGAGAAGAAGCCCCGGCUAACUUCGUG